rnacentral:rRNA from 1 species
GAUGAACGCUAGCGGCAGGCCUAACACAUGCAAGUCGAACGGUAACAUGAGAGCUUGCUCUCGAUGACGAGUGGCGCACGGGUGAGUAACACGUGUACAACUUACCUCUAACUGGGGCAUAGCCCGAAGAAAUUCGGAUUAAUACCCCAUAAUAAUUGAAAUUCGCAUGUUUUUCAAUUUAAAACUCCGGUGGUUAGAGAUGGGUACGCGUCCUAUUAGUUAGUUGGUGAGGUAACGGCUCACCAAGACUUCGAUAGGUAGGGGUUCUGAGAGGAAGAUCCCCACACUGGUACUGAGACACGGACCAG